rnacentral:rRNA from 1 species
GAUGAACGCUGGCGGCGUGCCUAAUACAUGCAAGUCGAGCGAACAGACGAGGAGCUUGCUCCUCUGACGUUAGCGGCGGACGGGUGAGUAACACGUGGAUAACCUACCUAUAAGACUGGGAUAACUUCGGGAAACCGGAGCUAAUACCGGAUAAUAUAUUGAACCGCAUGGUUCAAUAGUGAAAGACGGUUUUGCUGUCACUUAUAGAUGGAUCCGCGCCGCAUUAGCUAGUUGGUAAGGUAACGGCUUACCAAGGCGACGAUGCGUAGCCGACCUGAGAGGGUGAUCGGCCACACUGGAACUGAGACACGGUCCAGACUCCUACGGGAGGCAGCAGUAGGGAAUCUUCCGCAAUGGGCGAAAGCUUGACGGAGCAACGCCGCGUGAGUGAUGAAGGUCUUCGGAUCGUAAAACUCUGUUAUUAGGGAAGAACAAAUGUGUAAGUAACGAUGCACGUCUUGACGGUACCUAAUCAGAAAGCCACGGCUAACUACGU